rnacentral:rRNA from 1 species
ACAAGUCUCCGUUGGUGAACCAGCGGAGGGAUCAUUACAGAAUCUGACCAUUUGUGUCAUGGCUCUGCCAACCCUGUGAACUUUAUACUUGUACGUUGCCUCGGCGGAACCUGCCUUUUCGGCAGGCCGCCGGCCGGCAUAUACGCAAACGCUCUGAAAAAGCUCCGCGCUCUAUCUGAAUAAGAAAACUUUAACGAGUAAAAACUUUUGGCAACGGAUCUCUUGGCUCUGGCAUCGAUGAAGAACGCAGCGAAAUGCGAUACGUAGUGUGAAUUGCAGAAUUCAGUGAACCAUCGAAUCUUUGAACGCACCUUGCGGCCGCCGGUAAUCCGGCGGCCAUGCCCGUCCGAGCGUCGUUUCGACCCUCGGGAGUUCUCCUCGUAAGAGAAGUUCUCCCGGCCUUGGGCCAGCGCGUUGCGCGGCCCGCAGACCAGCGGCGGCAGUACCGGCGAUGUCCUCUGUGCAGUAGAUUUAUAGAAAACUCGCAUUGGUCCCCGGUAAGGCUUGCCUUGCAACCAACUUCUUUAGGUCGACCUCGGAUCGGGUAGGGAUACCCGCUAAACUUAAGCAUAUCAGUCAGCGGAGGA